rnacentral:tRNA from 1 species
GCCCGGGUGGCGAAAUCGGUAGACGCAGGGGACUCAAAAUCCCCCGCCGCAAGGCGUGCCGGUUCGAUUCCGGCCCCGGGCACCA